rnacentral:rRNA from 1 species
UCGGCACAAGCGGUGGAGCAUGAAGAUUAAUUCGAUACAACGCAAAGAACCUUACCUACCCUUGACAUCGUGCGAACUUUCCAGAGAUGGAUUGGUGCUUUCGGGAGCGCACAGACAGGUGCUGCAUGGCUGUCGUCAGCUCGUGUUGUGAAAUGUUGGGUUAAGUCCCGUAACGAGCGCAACCCUUGUCCCUAUUUGCCAGCGAUUCGGUCGGGAACUCUAGGGAGACUGCCGGUGACAAACCGGAGGAAGGUGGGGACGACGUCAAGUCAUCAUGGCCCUUACGGGUAGGGCUACACACGUGCUACAAUGGCCGGUACAAUGGGUUGCAAAGCGGCGACGUGGAGCUAAUCUCAUAAAGCCGGUCUCAGUCCGGAUCGGAGUCUGCAACUCGACUCCGUGAAGUCGGAAUCGCUAGUAAUCGUGCAUCAGAAUGGCACGGUGAAUACGUUCCCGGGCCUUGUACACACCGCCCGUCACACCAUGGGAGUGGACUGCACCAGAAGUGGUUAGCCUAACUUCGGAGGGCGAUCAACCAUCGGU